UGGGGAAUUUUGCACAAUGGGGGAAACCCUGAUGCAGCGACGCCGCGUGAUUUAGAAGGCCUUCGGGUUGUAAAAAUCUUUUGUAUAGGAAGAAAAUGACAGUACUAUACGAAUAAGGACCGGCUAAUUACGUGCCAGCAGCCGCGGUAAUACGUAAGGUCCGAGCGUUGUCCGGAAUCAUUGGGCGUAAAGGGUACGUAGGCGGGUAAGCAAGUUAGAAGUGAAAUCCUAUAGCGCAACUAUAGUAAGCUUUUAAAACUGCUCAUCUUGAGGUAUGGAAGGGAAAGUGGAAUUCCUAGUGUAGCGGUGAAAUGCGCAGAUAUUAGGAGGAAUACCGGUGGCGAAGGCGACUUUCUGGCCAUAACCUGACGCUGAGGUACGAAAGCGUGGGUAGCAAACAGG
rnacentral:rRNA from 1 species